CACGUCAAACUGAUCUCACUGUAAACCUGAGCUUGUCACAUACUUUCAUUCUUUCUUUCGAUUUUUAUUGGAGCAUUUCUGCAAAACAACGUAAACAUUUUUCCUUCGACCAAGACUGCGAAUGUCAUAAUUGUUUUAUGCCAAAUGCUUUCACUUGGAUUGAGCAUUCGAAUGGAUGAACCAGAUUGAAAUCCUGAAAGACGACCUGCACUCUCUCCUUGCCUCGUCCCUGAAAGUCGUAUCUACACGUUGCUCGAGAUGGAUAAGGAUUUGGAUAGCCUGGUGACGUCACAACACCGG